GACGAACGCUGGCGGCGUGCUUAACACAUGCAAGUCGAACGGAAAGGCCCUGCUUUUGUGGGGUGCUCGAGUGGCGAACGGGUGAGUAACACGUGAGUAACCUGCCCUUGACUUUGGGAUAACUUCAGGAAACUGGGGCUAAUACCGGAUAGGAGCUCCUGCUGCAUGGUGGGGGUUGGAAAGUUUCGGCGGUUGGGGAUGGACUCGCGGCUUAUCAGCUUGUUGGUGGGGUAGUGGCUUACCAAGGCUUUGACGGGUAGCCGGCCUGAGAGGGUGACCGGCCACAUUGGGACUGAGAUACGGCCCAGACUCCUACGGGAGGCAGCGGUGGGGAAUAUUGCACAAUGGGCGGAGGCCUGAUGCAGCAACGCCGCGUGCGGGAUGACGGCCUUCGGGUUGUAAACCGCUUUCGCCUGUGACGAAGCGUGAGUGACGGUAAUGGGGAAAGAAGCACCGGCUAACUACGU
rnacentral:rRNA from 1 species